AGUAAAUAGAUACCCGGGUAGUCCACGCCGUAAACGAUGAGUACUAGGUGUAGGAGGUAUCGACUCCUUCUGUGCCGCAGUUAAACACAAUAAGUACUCCGCCUGGGAAGUACGGUCGCAAGAUUAAAACUCAAAGGAAUUGACGGGGGCCCGGCACAAGCAGCGGAGCAUGUGGUUUAAAUUUCGAAGCAACGCGAAGAACCUUACCUAGACUUGACAUCCCCUCGAAUAACGUAGAGAUACGCGAAGCCCUUCGGGGCGAGGGAGACAGGUGGUGCAUGGUUGUCGUCAGCUCGUGUCGUGAGAUGUUGGGUUAAGUCCCGCAACGAGCGCAACCCUUAUCAUUAGUUGCUACCAUUUAGUUGAGCACUCUAGUGAGACUGCCCGGGUUAACCGGGAGGAAGGCGGGGAUGACGUCAAACUCAUCAUGCCCCUUACUGUCUAGGGCUACACACGUGCUACAAUGGUGAGAACAACGAGAUGCAAUACCGCAGGGUGAGGCAAAACUUCAAAACUCAUCUCAGUUCGGAUUGUAGGCUGAAACUCG
rnacentral:rRNA from 1 species